rnacentral:lncRNA from 1 species
GAAGAUGUAAAUUGUAUAUGUAUAAUCACUCCUUAAAGUUUGAGCUUACUGCCAAAACAAAGCAAAAAUAAACUCUCAACAAUAUUAUAUAUCAUGAGCACAAAUAAGGUGCUGGAAACCAUAUGUACAUUACAUAAUACAAAAGUAGGUCUUUGUUCUUCUUACAAGGCUUCUAUGAUAUCUAACAGUGUAUCAACAUCUUCUACCAAUUCUUC